GUCCAGGCCCAAAACAGAUCAUAAAAAUAACAGAAAACAGGUCUAGAUCCAACAGUGCACCGCCCAACACUGGGUUCCACUACCCGACAGUCGGUGCGGCACCCAGAAUGGCCGCUCAACGCUGUCCAGCUGAAAAUUAGUUAAAUAUUGGUCAACUACCGCCUCAGCGCUUCCUGCGGCACAAAACUGCAUUCUGGUUAACUGGUUGACUGGUUGACUUUUCUACACUACAACUGCUUAAGACUUCAAC
rnacentral:lncRNA from 1 species